UACGAAGGGGGCUAGCGUUGCUCGGAAUUACUGGGCGUAAAGCGCACGUAGGCGGCUCUUUAAGUCGGGGGUGAAAUCCUGGAGCUCAACUCCAGAACUGCCUUCGAUACUGGGGAGUCUCGAGUCCGGGAGAGGGUGAGUGGAACUGCGAGUGUAGAGGUGAAAUUCGUAGAAUAUCGCAAGAACACCAGUGGCGAAGGCGGCUCACUGGCCCGGUACUGACGCUGAGGUGCGAAAGCGUGGGGAGCAAACAGG
rnacentral:rRNA from 1 species